GAGGGGAUGUAGAAUUGUAAACUUUUUCUUAUAUAAUAAUAGACAAUUUCAACUACCUAUUCCCAAAUUUUCAUCCUUCUUUUAUUUUUUUGGAGGUUUUCGUAAAAUUUUGUGUUCCCUGAUUGGGCUAUAACUAAAGUUUAAUAAACAACUGUAAAACAUGAUAUUUUAGAUUUCAAACGGUAAUAUGUUAAAACUUCAUCGAAUCCCACUUACGUAGUACAGAUUCAACAAGAAAAUAUUUGUGUCCAAUGUAAAUGAGUGUCUGGACAGCUCCACAUACUGUCUUGGCUUUUCUAUUGUCUCGUUGCAAAAACGUUAUGACAUGUUCAGGUUGUCUAAAUUCGUCUAUACCUAGUUUUGCUAUUUUCUUUUUCACCACUUUUUCUAUAAUGUUAAGCCUAGAAAAAAUAAUUAAUAGGAGGGUACUACAGGCGAAUGGCACUAAGUUUGUAUGGCGAGAUUAUUCGGGGUUUGUACCAUAAUCGUGAACUAAAUUACUAAGGAAGUGAACUUAGAACACAUAUACUAUGUGACUACUCAAAGGCACCGUUGCUCGGUCCUGGUAGAUUAUGGACGGUGUCGUUGAUAGAGGUGAGAAAUACAAGAAGCAAGAUGGAUACAAAACAACAACAGGAAAGAGAACAACUCGACAAAAUAUUUGAAUCCCAAAAAAAGAUAAAUGGGAUAUUCAUAAAACAAAGAGAAACAAUCCACAAAGAAGAAUUUCCUGUAGCUGGCUGUAUACCUUUAAUGAACUUAGAACACAUAUACUAUGUGACUCAAAGGCACUGUUGCUUGGUCCUGGUAGAUUAUGGACGGUGUCGUUGAUAGAGGUGAGAAAUACAAGAGGAAAGAUGGAUACAAAACAACAAAAAGGAACAGGAAAGAGAACAACUCAACAAAAUAUUUGAAUCCCACAAAAAGAUAAAUGGGAUAUUCAUAAAACAAAGAGAAACAAUCCACAAAGAAGAAUUUCCUGUAGCUGGCUGUAUACCAUUAAUGAACUUAGAACACAUAUACUAUGUGACUCAAAGGUACCGUUGCUCGGUCCUGUUAGAUUAUGGACGGUGUCGUUGAUAGAGGUGAGAAAUACAAGAGGAAAGAUGGAUACAAAACAACAAAAAGGAACAGGAAAGAGAACAACUCAACAAAAUAUUUGAAUCCCACAAAAAGAUAAAUGGGAUAUUCAUAAAACAAAGAGAAACAAUCCACAAAGAAGAAUUUCCUGUAGCUGGCUGUAUACCAUUAAUGAACUUAGAACACAUAUACUAUGUGACUCAAAGGUACCGUUGCUCGGUCCUGUUAGAUUAUGGACGGUGUCGUUGAUAGAGGUGAGAAAUACAAGAGGAAAGAUGGAUACAAAACAACAAAAAGGAACAGGAAAGAGAACAACUCAACAAAAUAUUUGAAUCCCACAAAAAGAUAAAUGGGAUAUUCAUAAAACAAAGAGAAACAAUCCACAAAGAAGAAUUUCCUGUAGCUGGCUGUAUACCAUUAAUGAACUUAGAACACAUAUACUAUGUGACUCAAAGGCACUGUUGCUUGGUCCUGGUAGAUUAUGGACGGGGUCGUUGAUAGAGGUGAGGAAUACAAGAAGAAAGAUGGAUACAAAACAACAAAAAGGAACAGGAAAGAGAACAACUCGACAAAAUAUUUGAAUCCCACAAAAAGAUAAAUGGGAUAUUCAUAAAACAAAGAGAAACAAUCCACAAAGAAGAAUUUCCUGUAGCUGGCUGUAUACCAUUAAUGAACUUAGAACACAUAUACUAUGUGACUCAAAGGCACUGUUGCUUGGUCCUGGUAGAUUAUGGACGGUGUCGUUGAUAGAGGUGAGAAAUACAA
rnacentral:lncRNA from 1 species